CCCCCAACUGCUCGGCGGCGCCGCAGCGGCAGCCGGCAGCGGGCGGAGGCGGCCACACUGCCGCUCCUCCACGCACACCGCACCACGCCACCGCCCUCAAGCCUCUCGUGCCCCCAUCCAAGCCACAGCCACAGCCAUCGCCUGGCCCCAACCCCCACGCCGCCACGCACGGGCUGCCGCGUCCUGUUGCCACCCCGCUCCUUCAGGAGUCAGUCCGCAAAACCGCCGAUCUGUGGCUGGAGCUGAUGCUUCCCUGCCAUCCCUGGAAGUCUGGAGCGGCGGUGUAUAAUGACCUCCCUCGGUGCUCGGUCAGCAACUCAGCACUAGUGAUGUUGCAGCUGGCCGUUCUUUCUGUCACCAGUCACCGAGCUACACGGAGCCCAGAUUCGCGCUAAAGGGGCAAUUAAUCUUUUUAGUAUCACAGGCAAAGAUCUGCGUCAAGCUGACAGACGGGCAAGCCGCGAACGUCUGGGUGAUGGUUGCUUUCAGGGGAUUUAUUCUGUGAGAAGGCAUUUCGGUGGAUGCUGAACACACGAGGCAAGAAAAUUUUCCGAAGCCAAUUUUUGGAUGAUGCGGACGUGUACGAUAAUCUAUUAACUCCUAAAAGUGUUAUCUGCAUCCUUGAGCAAGACAAAACUUGAAAACUACCUGUUGAUGACCUAGGAACUACAGCAAACUCCUAUUCUGGGCAAUGUAGGUUGUCGCGGGCUAGAGCUGUCCAAAUGGUGAAUGGAAUCUGCUGAGCUCACAAGUUAUCACAAUUGUUUCAGCUUUGACUACGGCUGGAGGAAGAUGGUGGUUGAUUGCACCAAACUUGGACGAUGGGUACCUUUACUACUACUACUUGGUUCUUGCAGUCAUUUGCCUGAAGAAUUCUGUUGCAUAUGUACUGCUUUGCUGUAAGCAUGGAAAAUAUGGAUGCCCCCCCCCUUUCCCCCCGGUGCACAAGCUAAAUCGCUUUCUUGCUUAGCAUGCAAAUUAUGGGUGACUUUGUUGGCCUCCAGUUGAAUUCAAACUUUCGGUGGUUUGAUUCAUAUAUAAGUUUUCA